rnacentral:rRNA from 1 species
AGAGUUCGUAGGUGGUUGAAAAAGUUAGUGGUGAAAUCCCAGAGCUUAACUCUGGAACUGCCAUUAAAACUUUUCAGCUAGAGUAUGAUAGAGGAAAGCAGAAUUUCUAGUGUAGAGGUGAAAUUCGUAGAUAUUAGAAAGAAUACCAAUUGCGAAGGCAGCUUUCUGGAUCAUUACUGACACUGAGGAACGAAAGCAUGGGUAGCGAAGAGGAUUAGAUACCCUCGUAGUCCAUGCCGUAAACGAUGUGUGUUAGACGUUGGAAAUUUAUUUUCAGUGUCGCAGCGAAAGCGAUAAACACACCGCCUGGGGAGUACGACCGCAAGGUUAAAACUCAAAUGAAUUGACGGGGACCCGCACAAGUAGUGGAGCAUGUGGUUUAAUUCGAAGAUACGCGCAGAACCUUACCAACACUUGACAUGUUCGUCGCGACUCUAAGAGAUUAGAGUUUUCGGUUCGGCCGGACGAAACACAGGUGCUGCAUGGCUGUCGUCAGCUCGUGUCGUGAGAUGUUGGGUUAAGUCCCGCAACGAGCGCAACCCUCACUUUUAGUUGCCAUCAUUAAGUUGGGCACUCUGAAAGAACUGCCAGUGAUAAGCUGGAGGAAGGUGGGGAUGACGUCAAGUCCUCAUGGCCCUUACGUGUUGGGCUACACACGUGCUACAAUGGUAUCUACAACAGGAAGCAAGACUGCGAGGUCAAGCAAAUCCUUAAAAGAUACCUCAGUUCGGAUUGCACUCUGCAACUCGAGUGCAUGAAGCUGGAAUUACUAGUAAUCGUGGAUCAGCGUGCCACGGUGAAUGCGUUCCCGGGUCUUGUACACACCGCCCGUCACACUAUGGGAGUUGGUUCUACCUUAAGGCAAGGUUUCAAACCCUUGACCACGGUAUAG